rnacentral:rRNA from 1 species
AACAGCUUAGAGUUUGACUCCGUGGCUACAGGACGAACGCUGGCGGCGUGCCUAACACAUGCAAGUCGAAACGAGAAUCUCUGGAAGGAGACUUCGGUCAACGGAAGGAGAGGACAGUGGCGGACGGGUGAGUAACGCGUGAGCAACCUGCCCUUCAGAGGGGGACAACAGCUGGAAACGGCUGCUAAUACCGCAUAAUAUAUAUUUAAGGCAUCUUGGAUAUAUCAAAGAUUUAUCGCUGAAGGAUGGGCUCGCGUCUGAUUAGCUGGUUGGUGGGGUAAUGGCCUACCAAGGCGACGAUCAGUAGCCGGACUGAGAGGUUGAACGGCCACAUUGGGACUGAGAUACGGCCCAGACUCCUACGGGAGGCAGCAGUGGGGAAUAUUGGGCAAUGGGGGCAACCCUGACCCAGCAACGCCGCGUGAAGGAAGAAGGCUUUCGGGUUGUAAACUUCUUUGACGAGGGACGAUAAUGACGGUACCUCGAAAACAAGCCACGGCUAACUACGUGCC